AACCAAUCAGAAACGAUUAUUUCUGAUAACUAACCUUUCAUAAAAUAGUAGCAUUUCCUGUAAUCCAGUCCAAUAUAAUCAAAAAAUAGUUUUAGAACGUUACUUUUAUACAUUGCAAAUAUAUUGACAGUAUUUGGACAAAUUCAUUUCGUUAAUAUGGAUACGAUUAAUACGCUUUGCAAUAAAUGAUGAUUGUUCGUUAUUAGAAGAUGGAAAGAUAGAUCAUAAAAUUUUCUUUUGAAACGUGUACCUUUUCUCGUUGCGACGUGCAAUCUCAUAGGAAACGGCAAAGAUUACCCACCGUGAGAAUGUAAAGGUACCAUUCGGUACCACUCUCUGACGACGUCAGCAAACAAGCACUCGUCUCUUUUUAAAGCGAAGAGAGACACGGAAUAAAAAACAAUGCGUGCUUCGAACGUUCCCGGUGAAUCCGUACUUUUUCCUUUUAUCGCACGUAUACACAUUUGUACGUGAAACACUUUCAUUCAGAUAUAUCGUAAAAUAAGAAAGAAAUAAACAGAAAAAAAGAAUACGAAAAACAAUAUAUCUAAAAAGUCAUUACUUCUAAACCACUUAUGGUAGUUACCAAUCUGUCCAUCCAUUCAUCCAUCCAUCCAUCCAUCCAUCCAUCCAUCCAUCCACGCCGUUGUUACUAUGACGUAUAAUAUUUCUACGCGAGGCCGGAUAACGGAAUUUGGAUCCUUGACAUUUUUGAAUUCAGCGGUUCUUCUAUGGUCGAUCGUAGUCAUUGAAUAUUUUCAUUACUCGAUUAAAAGUAACAUAAAUAUUACUCUUUUACUUAGAUUUUUCUUAUUUUUCAUAUUAUCAAUAUUCAUGUUAUGUAAUACUUCACUGAUAUGUGUGCAUCAAUCAAGAAAUAGAUGAAGCGAUGAACUUUCAUUUUUACAAAAAAUUCUAAGUAAACAGUUACAUAUCUUCGUCGUUAGUAUCUGUGUGUGUGUGUGUGUGUGUGUACGUAGAUAGGAGGGGGAGGGGGAGGAUUUGAAAAUGAUAUACUAAUACUAGUUGCACUUUAUAAAAACUUAAAUACACGGAAUCUCGUGGCUUGUGCCGAUCAUUCAGAGAUUUUGUAAAUAUAUGUAUAUGUGUAAUUUCUCUUCCCCUUCCCCAAUGGCUUGGCCUCUCAUAGGUGUCUUUUCUGGUGUAAGAGGAGGUCCUCGAGAUUGGUUCUCCAUAGGUAGAGGGAUUGAAAGAAUAAGGGGGAGACAGAGAGAGAGAGAGAGAGAGAGAGA